rnacentral:snRNA from 1 species
UGGAAUAUGUCCAAUGUCU